GACGAACGCUGGCGGCGUGCUUAACACAUGCAAGUCGAACGAAGUGGCGAACGGGUGAAUAACGCGUAAUCAACCUGCCCUUCAGAGGGGGACAACAGUUGGAAACGACGGCUAAUACCGCAUACUGUAGGAGGGGAUUGCGUCUGAUUAGCUAGUUGGAGGGGUAAGGGGCCACCAAGGCAAUGAUCAGUAGCCGGUCUGAGAGGAUGAACGGCCACAUUGGGACUGGGACACGGCCCAGACUCCUACGGGAGGCAGCAGUGGGGAAUCGUCCGCAAUGGACGAAAGUCUGACGGAGCAAUGCCGCGUGAGUGAUGACGGCCUUCGGGUUGUAAAGCUCUGUUAAUCGGGACGCGGUACCGGAAUAGAAAGCCACGGCUAACUACGUGCCAGCAGCCGCGGUAAUAC
rnacentral:rRNA from 1 species